UAUAUAUAUCUAUAUAUUUUAAUUGGGGGAGCCCCCAAAAUAUUGGGCUAAUAAAAAAAGACAACUCUGUUCCGCAGAGUAGCUGUUGACAUUAUAGUUGCGCAGGAAGUUUGUUGACUCUAGAGAACCUCGGGCAAAUCACACAUCUCCGUGGUGGCGACUUUGCAUGCGGAUGUCAUCCAUAUCAACUUUCGAUGCCAGUUUCUGCGCCUACCAUGGUGACCAUGGAUAACGGGUAAUUGGGGUUCUAUUCCAUACAGGGACCCUGAGAAAUAGCUACCACAUGCAAGGAAGGCAGCAGGCGUGCAAAUGACCCACUCCCGACGCGGGAAGGUAGUGA